CCUGAGCCAAAGUGCGGGGAGGACAAUGAGAACCAUUCCAUUGACUUCAAUGGGCUUUGGAUCAGGCCCUUGA
rnacentral:miRNA from 1 species